GAUCCUGGCUCAGGAUGAACGCUAGCUACAGGCUUAACACAUGCAAGUCGAGGGGCAGCAUUUUAGUUUGCUUGCAAACUGAAGAUGGCGACCGGCGCACGGGUGAGUAACACGUAUCCAACCUGCCGAUAACUCUGGAAUAGCCUUUCGAAAGAAAGAUUAAUACCGGAUGGCAUACGAAUAUCGCAUGAUAUUUUUAUUAAAGAAUUUCGGUUAUCGAUGGGGAUGCGUUCCAUUUAG
rnacentral:rRNA from 1 species